rnacentral:lncRNA from 1 species
GACAGAGGCCACCAGAGUUGAGUUGGGUUUACAUUUUGUUAGUAGAGUACUCUAUGUUCAUCUUUUGUAUUUGAUGACUAGUGAUGUUGAGAAAAGAAUGUAAUGUGUAUUUUGAGGUAAAUGUGAUGUAAGAAAGAAAUGAUGAAAUGAAAUGUAAGGAAUUCGAAAGUGAACAAGAUGAAUGCAAUGUAUAUGAUCAAAAAUGAAUCAUAGUACUUGUAAAU